rnacentral:tRNA from 2 species
GGCGGCGUAGCUCAGAGGUCAGAGCACGCGGCUCAUACCCGCGGUGUCGUGGGUUCGAGUCCCACCGCCGCCACCA